UACGUAGGGUGCGAGCGUUGCCCGGAUUUAUUGGGCGUAAAGGGCGCGCAGGCGGCCACGCGCGUCCGUUGUGAAAUCGCUCGGCUCAACUGGGCGAGGUCAGCGGAUACGGCGUGGCUGGAGCAAGCUAGGGGGCGAUGGAAUUCCCGGUGUAGUGGUGGAAUGCGUAGAUAUCUGGAGGAACACCGGUGGCGAAGGCGGCAUUCUGGACCAAUAUUGACGCUGAGGAGCGAAAGCCAGGGGAGCAAACGGG
rnacentral:rRNA from 1 species